GCUAACAUGCUAACGGGUUAAUACAAGCGGGCUAACAGGUUAAUACAAGCGGGCUAACAUGCUAAUACGUUAAUACAAGCGGGCUAACAUGCUAAUACGUUAAUACAAGCGGGCUAACAGGUUAAUACAAGCGGGCUAACAUGCUAAUACGUUAAUACAAGCGGGCUAACAUGCUAACCACCAGCGGGCAAACUGAACUACGACAAGCUUUCCCUGAUUGCCCGGUGAGCUGCGUAACA